GCAUCGGUGGUUUAGUGGUAAAAUUAGCCGUUGCCAUACGUCCAUUCCAUGAGAGCUGUAUGUCGCAGUCUCGGCUAGCCCCGGGUUCGAUUCCCGGCCGAUGCA